rnacentral:rRNA from 1 species
GGGUGCGAUCAUACCAGCACUAAAUGCACCGGAUCCCUUCAGAACUCCGCAGCUAACCGUGCUUGGGCGAGAGUAGUACUAGGAUGGGUGACCUCCUGGGAAGUCCUCGUGUUGCACCCC